rnacentral:rRNA from 1 species
UACGUAGGGUGCAAGCGUUAUCCGGAAUUAUUGGGCGUAAAGAGCUCGUAGGCGGUUUGUCGCGUCUGCUGUGAAAACUGGAGGCUCAACCUCCAGCCUGCAGUGGGUACGGGCAAACUAGAGUGCGGUAGGGGAGAUUGGAAUUCCUGGUGUAGCGGUGGAAUGCGCAGAUAUCAGGAGGAACACCGAUGGCGAAGGCAGAUCUCUGGGUCGUAACUGACGCUGAGGAGCGAAAGCAUGGGGAGCGAACAGG